AACCGAGAUUCCCCCAGUAGCGGCGAGCGAACGGGGAGGAGCCCAGAGCCUGAAUCAGUAUGUGUGUUAGUGGAAGCGUCUGGAAAGGCGAGCGAUACAGGGUGACAGCCCCGUACACAAAAAUGCACAUGCUGUGAGCUCGAUGAGUAGGGCGGGACACGUGGUAUCCUGUCUGAAUAUGGGGGGACCAUCCUCCAAGGCUAAAUACUCCUGACUGACCGAUAGUGAACCAGUACCGUGAGGGAAAGGCGAAAAGAACCCCGGCGAGGGGAGUGAAAAAGAACCUGAAACCGUGUACGUACAAGCAGUGGGAGCACGCUUAGGCGUGUGACUGCGUACCUUUUGUAUAAUGGGUCAGCGACUUAUAUUCUGUAGCAAGGUUAACCGAAUAGGGGAGCCGAAGGGAAACCGAGUCUUAACUGGGCGUUAAGUUGCAGGGUAUAGACCCGAAACCCGGUGAUCUAGCCAUGGGCAGGUUGAAGGUUGGGUAACACUAACUGGAGGACCGAACCGACUAAUGUUGAAAAAUUAGCGGAUGACUUGUGGCUGGGGGUGAAAGGCCAAUCAAACCGGGAGAUAGCUGGUUCUCCCCGAAAGCUAUUUAGGUAGCGCCUCGUGAAUUCAUCUCCGGGGGUAGAGCACUGUUUCGGCAAGGGGGUCAUCCCGACUUACCAACCCGAUGCAAACUGCGAAUACCGGAGAAUGUUAUCACGGGAGACACACGGCGGGUGCUAACGUCCGUCGUGAAGAGGGAAACAACCCAGACCGCCAGCUAAGGUCCCAAAGUCAUGGUUAAGUGGGAAACGAUGUGGGAAGGCCCAGACAGCCAGGAUGUUGGCUUAGAAGCAGCCAUCAUUUAAAGAAAGCGUAAUAGCUCACUGGUCGAGUCGGCCUGCGCGGAAGAUGUAACGGGGCUAAACCAUGCACCGAAGCUGCGGCAGCGACGCUUAUGCGUUGUUGGGUAGGGGAGCGUUCUGUAAGCCUGCGAAGGUGUGCUGUGAGGCAUGCUGGAGGUAUCAGAAGUGCGAAUGCUGACAUAAGUAACGAUAAAGCGGGUGAAAAGCCCGCUCGCCGGAAGACCAAGGGUUCCUGUCCAACGUUAAUCGGGGCAGGGUGAGUCGACCCCUAAGGCGAGGCCGAAAGGCGUAGUCGAUGGGAAACAGGUUAAUAUUCCUGUACUUGGUGUUACUGCGAAGGGGGGACGGAGAAGGCUAUGUUGGCCGGGCGACGGUUGUCCCGGUUUAAGCGUGUAGGCUGGUUUUCCAGGCAAAUCCGGAAAAUCAAGGCUGAGGCGUGAUGACGAGGCACUACGGUGCUGAAGCAACAAAUGCCCUGCUUCCAGGAAAAGCCUCUAAGCAUCAGGUAACAUCAAAUCGUACCCCAAACCGACACAGGUGGUCAGGUAGAGAAUACCAAGGCGCUUGAGAGAACUCGGGUGAAGGAACUAGGCAAAAUGGUGCCGUAACUUCGGGAGAAGGCACGCUGAUAUGUAGGUGAAGCGACUUGCUCGUGGAGCUGAAAUCAGUCGAAGAUACCAGCUGGCUGCAACUGUUUAUUAAAAACACAGCACUGUGCAAACACGAAAGUGGACGUAUACGGUGUGACGCCUGCCCGGUGCCGGAAGGUUAAUUGAUGGGGUCAGCGCAAGCGAAGCUCUUGAUCGAAGCCCCGGUAAACGGCGGCCGUAACUAUAACGGUCCUAAGGUAGCGAAAUUCCUUGUCGGGUAAGUUCCGACCUGCACGAAUGGCGUAAUGAUGGCCAGGCUGUCUCCACCCGAGACUCAGUGAAAUUGAACUCGCUGUGAAGAUGCAGUGUACCCGCGGCAAGACGGAAAGACCCCGUGAACCUUUACUAUAGCUUGACACUGAACAUUGAGCCUUGAUGUGUAGGAUAGGUGGGAGGCUUUGAAGUGUGGACGCCAGUCUGCAUGGAGCCGACCUUGAAAUACCACCCUUUAAUGUUUGAUGUUCUAACGUUGACCCGUAAUCCGGGUUGCGGACAGUGUCUGGUGGGUAGUUUGACUGGGGCGGUCUCCUCCUAAAGAGUAACGGAGGAGCACGAAGGUUGGCUAAUCCUGGUCGGACAUCAGGAGGUUAGUGCAAUGGCAUAAGCCAGCUUGACUGCGAGCGUGACGGCGCGAGCAGGUGCGAAAGCAGGUCAUAGUGAUCCGGUGGUUCUGAAUGGAAGGGCCAUCGCUCAACGGAUAAAAGGUACUCCGGGGAUAACAGGCUGAUACCGCCCAAGAGUUCAUAUCGACGGCGGUGUUUGGCACCUCGAUGUCGGCUCAUCACAUCCUGGGGCUGAAGUAGGUCCCAAGGGUAUGGCUGUUCGCCAUUUAAAGUGGUACGCGAGCUGGGUUUAGAACGUCGUGAGACAGUUCGGUCCCUAUCUGCCGUGGGCGCUGGAGAACUGAGGGGGGCUGCUCCUAGUACGAGAGGACCGGAGUGGACGCAUCACUGGUGUUCGGGUUGUCAUGCCAAUGGCACUGCCCGGUAGCUAAAUGCGGAAGAGAUAAGUGCUGAAAGCAUCUAAGCACGAAACUUGCCCCGAGAUGAGUUCUCCCUGACUCCUUGAGAGUCCUGAAGGAACGUUGAAGACGACGACGUUGAUAGGCCGGGUGUGUAAGCGCAGCGAUGCGUUGAGCUAACCGGUACUAAUGAACCGUGAGGCUUAACCUUACAACGCCGAAGCUGUU
rnacentral:rRNA from 1 species